rnacentral:rRNA from 1 species
AAUAGAUACCCGGGUAGUCCACGCCGUAAACGAUGUCGACUUGGAGGUUGUGCCCUUGAGGCGUGACUUCCGGAGCUAACGCGUUAAGUCGACCGCCUGGGGAGUACGGCCGCAAGGUUAAAACUCAAAUGAAUUGACGGGGGCCCGCACAAGCGGUGGAGCAUGUGGUUUAAUUCGAUGCAACGCGAAGAACCUUACCUACUCUUGACAUCCACGGAAUUUAGCAGAGAUGCUUUAGUGCCUUCGGGAACCGUGAGACAGGUGCUGCAUGGCUGUCGUCAGCUCGUGUUGUGAAAUGUUGGGUUAAGUCCCGCAACGAGCGCAACCCUUAUCCUUUGUUGCCAGCGGUUAGGCCGGGAACUCAAAGGAGACUGCCAGUGAUAAACUGGAGGAAGGUGGGGAUGACGUCAAGUCAUCAUGGCCCUUACGAGUAGGGCUACACACGUGCUACAAUGGCAUAUACAAAGAGAAGCGACCUCGCGAGAGCAAGCGGACCUCAUAAAGUAUGUCGUAGUCCGGAUUGGAGU